GUAGCGAGUACAGACCAGCGAAACGCUUUUUUUCUCCCCCAAGAAUUUAGCUCAGGUUUUGAAAGAAUUUGUCUUUUUACAAUGUAAAGAAACAUUUUUCAGCAUCAGCUCGUAGACAGGUAAGGACAUGUGUCUACGUUUAAACAGGGCUUGUCUGCUAUGUUGAACAUAGCUUGUCAAUACCUUCCUUCUGUUGCACAAUACGAACUGUAAACACCACGAGGAAAGCACCACGGACGAUACAGGAGACGUGCCGAUUAAAAAGAUAAAAAAUAUCACAUCAAGGUUUUUUUUAUUUUAUCCAUCGUCUGUCUAGGAAAACCGUGAAAUAGAGAAAAAUAGAUUUCCGAGGAUCAUUUAGUUAGAGAAACCCGGAUCGGACGUGUAAUAUGGAAUAAUGGCAGAGGACUCUGGAUAGACGAAGCAGAUAAAAAG